GCUGUGAGGCAUGCUGGAGGUAUCAGAAGUGCGAAUGCUGACAUAAGUAACGAUAAAGCGGGUGAAAAGCCCGCUCGCCGGAAGACCAAGGGUUCCUGUCCAACGUUAAUCGGGGCAGGGUGAGUCGACCCCUAAGGCGAGGCCGAAAGGCGUAGUCGAUGGGAAACAGGUUAAUAUUCCUGUACUUGGUGUUACUGCGAAGGGGGGACGGAGAAGGCUAUGUUAGCCGGGCGACGGUUGUCCCGGUUUAAGCAUGUAGGCUGGUUGUCCAGGCAAAUCCGGAUAAUCAAGGCUGAGGUGUGAUGACGAGGCACUACGGUGCUGAAGUAACAAAUGCCCUGCUUCCAGGAAAAGCCUCUAAGCAUCAGGUAACAUCAAAUCGUACCCCAAACCGACACAGGUGGUCAGGUAGAGAAUACCAAGGCGCUUGAGAGAACUCGGGUGAAGGAACUAGGCAAAAUGGUGCCGUAACUUCGGGAGAAGGCACGCUGGUGUGUAGGUGAAGCCCCUGCGGGUGGAGCUGAGACCAGUCGAAGAUACCAGCUGGCUGCAACUGUUUAUUAAAAACACAGCACUGUGCAAACACGAAAGUGGACGUAUACGGUGUGACGCCUGCCCGGUGCCGGAAGGUUAAUUGAUGGGGUUAUCCGUAAGGAGAAGCUCUUGAUCGAAGCCCCGGUAAACGGCGGCCGUAACUAUAACGGUCCUAAGGUAGCGAAAUUCCUUGUCGGGUAAGUUCCGACCUGCACGAAUGGCGUAAUGAUGGCCAGGCUGUCUCCACCCGAGACUCAGUGAAAUUGAACUCGCUGUGAAGAUGCAGUGUACCCGCGGCAAGACGGAAAGACCCCGUGAACCUUUACUAUAGCUUGACACUGAACAUUGAGCCUUGAUGUGUAGGAUAGGUGGGAGGCUUUGAAGCGUGGACGCCAGUCUGCGUGGAGCCAACCUUGAAAUACCACCCUUUAAUGUUUGAUGUUCUAACGUUGGCCCCUGACCGGGGUUGCGGACAGUGUCUGGUGGGUAGUUUGACUGGGGCGGUCUCCUCCCAAAGCGUAACGGAGGAGCACGAAGGUUAGCUAAUCCUGGUCGGACAUCAGGAGGUUAGUGCAAUGGCAUAAGCUAGCUUGACUGCGAGCGUGACGGCGCGAGCAGGUGCGAAAGCAGGUCAUAGUGAUCCGGUGGUUCUGAAUGGAAGGGCCAUCGCUCAACGGAUAAAAGGUACUCCGGGGAUAACAGGCUGAUACCGCCCAAGAGUUCAUAUCGACGGCGGUGUUUGGCACCUCGAUGUCGGCUCAUCACAUCCUGGGGCUGAAGUAGGUCCCAAGGGUAUGGCUGUUCGCCAUUUAAAGUGGUACGCGAGCUGGGUUUAGAACGUCGUGAGACAGUUCGGUCCCUAUCUGCCGUGGGCGCUGGAGAAUUGAGGGGGGCUGCUCCUAGUACGAGAGGACCGGAGUGGACGCAUCACUGGUGUUCGGGUUGUCAUGCCAAUGGCACUGCCCGGUAGCUAAAUGCGGAAGAGAUAAGUGCUGAAAGCAUCUAAGCACGAAACUUGCCCCGAGAUGAGUUCUCCCUGAGACUU
rnacentral:rRNA from 1 species